rnacentral:rRNA from 1 species
AACGAACGCUGGCGGCAUGCCUAACACAUGCAAGUCGAACGAGACCUUCGGGUCUAGUGGCGCACGGGUGCGUAACGCGUGGGAACCUGCCCUUAGGUUCGGAAUAACUCCCCGAAAGGGGUGCUAAUACCGGAUAAUGUCUUCGGACCAAAGAUUUAUCGCCUUUGGAUGGGCCCGCGUUGGAUUAGCUAGUUGGUAGGGUAAAAGCCUACCAAGGCGACGAUCCAUAGCUGGUCUGAGAGGAUGAUCAGCCACACUGGGACUGAGACACGGCCCAGACUCCUGGGGGAGGGAGGGGGGGAGAAUGUUGGAGAGUGGGGGGAGGCCUAACAAAGCAAUGCCGGGGAAGUAAGAAGGGCUUAGGGGUUGAAAGGCUUUUUUACCCGGGAGGAAAAGAACGGCACCGGAAAAAAAGCCCCGGGCUAACCCGGUG